rnacentral:rRNA from 1 species
UACGUAGGGGGCAAGCGUUAUCCGGAUUUACUGGGUGUAAAGGGAGCGUAGACGGCGCGGCAAGUCUGAAGUGAAAGGCAGGGGCUUAACCCCUGAACUGCUUUGGAAACUGCCAUGCUAGAGUGCUGGAGAGGUAAGUGGAAUUCCUAGUGUAGCGGUGAAAUGCGUAGAUAUCAGGAGGAAUACCGUUAGCGAAGGCGGCAAUCUGGCUGGAAACUGACGCUGAGGUGCGAAAGCGUGGGUAGCAAACAGG